GUUGUUGGUUAUGGGGUUUGAGGUCAGGGGGUUUGGGGUCAGUUAUGGGGUUUGGGGGUCACUUGGGUUGUUGGUUAUGGGGUUUAGGGUCAGUUAUGGGGUUUGGGGUCAGUUGUGGGGUUGUUGGUUAUGGGGUUUUGGGGAUGGUUAUGGGGUGAUAGGGUCAGUUAUGGGGUUUGGGGUCACUUGUGGCCUCAAUUAUGGGGUCAGUUGGGGUGAUAGGGUCAGUUAUGGGGUGUGGGGUCACUUGGGUUGUUGGUUAUGGGGUUUGGGGUCAGUUGUGGGGUUGGUUAUGGGGUUUUGGGGUUGGUUAUGGGA
rnacentral:lncRNA from 1 species